rnacentral:rRNA from 1 species
GCACAAGCGGAGGAGCAUGUGGUUUAAUUCGAUGAUACGCGAGGAACCUUACCUGGGCUCGAACGUAAGAUGACUGUAGGUGAAAGCUUACAUCUCUUCGGAGCAUUUUACGAGGUGCUGCAUGGUUGUCGUCAGCUCGUGCCGUGAGGUGUCGGGUUAAGUCCCAUAACGAGCGCAACCCCUACCUUUAGUUGCCAUCAGGUUAAGCUGGGGACUCUAAAGGAACUGCCUACGCAAGUAGUGAGGAAGGCGGGGAUGACGUCAAAUCAGCACGGCCCUUACGUCCAGGGCUACACACGUGCUACAAUGGCCGAUACAGAGGGCAGCUACCUGGUGACAGGAUGCAAAUCUCCAAAGUCGGUCUCAGUUCGGAUCGGAGUCUGCAACCCGACUCCGUGAAGUUGGAUUCGCUUAGUAAUCGCGCAUCAGCCAUGGCGCGGUGAAUACGUUCCCGGGCCUU